GACACCACAAUACACAAGAUGUCCGCCAGAAAAUUACGAGCGAAAAGCUUAAAAUUCAAAGGACUUGGCGGUGCUCCAUAUCCGACUUAGAGGAGCCUGUCCUAUAAUCGAUAAUCCACGCUAAACCUCACCAUUCAUUGCCAAAAUCAGCCUAUAUACCGCCGUCGUCAACUUACCCCAUGAGGGGUCAACAGUAAGUAUAAUAGUUUAAACACUAAAACGUCAGGUCAAGGUGUAGCUUAUAGAAUGGAAGAGAUGGGCUACAUUUUUUAAAAUAAAACAUACGGCAUGGGACUAUGAAAACCAGCCCCUAAAGGAGGAUUUAAUAGUAAAAUUAACAAGAAAAUUAAUUU
rnacentral:rRNA from 1 species